rnacentral:lncRNA from 1 species
AAUGCUCCAUGAACAAUUCCACUGGCUGCAGGGCCCAGCCUCUGUGAUUAAGCCUCCAGGUCUCCUGCUGCUUCUAAUAGGCCUGCGGGCUUGACCAUCUGAUGAGAACCGCUGCGCCAGCCUGCUCCGAGCUGGCGCUGGAAUCUCCUAGCGCACGGUAUUAAUCAUCACUGUCAGGCCACUCGGCCUAAA